CUCCUGGGCUCAAGUGAUCCUCCUGUCUCAGCCUCCCAAAGUGCUGGGAUUACAGGCGUGAGUCACCACGUGCAGCCUAAUUGAGUUAUUUAUUGGUUUUGAGAGCAACGCCCAAAGGCCCAAGAAAUGAUAACUCAUUCAGUGAAGGCUUCAACAUGAAAUGCCAACUUGAAAAAACAGAAAACAAGUUGCUUAAUUUCUCCUCCACAACUUGAAAAAGAGCAGUGCAAGAUGUUGACUUAGAGGAAAAUUCAUCAUGCAAGAUUUAGAGGAAAAUUCAGCAAACACUUAUUGAGCACUUACUAUUUAGGCCAGGCCUGUGUUAGAUCCUUCCUAUAUAGUAUCUCAUUUAAUCCUUAAAGCCACAGAGAAAUUAAAACUAUAGAGAUUAUUAUACUAUAACAAGGUUAACCCUCUAGGCAACAGCUUGGGAUUUUCCAUGUAUGCCUGUUUACUGCUAGAGAAUUUAAUUUGGAGACAAAAUGAUUUUAAUGCCCUCGCACCUGUAGGAAUACUUUCCUUUCUCUUCCUUCUGUUGGAAUGUGAAGAGGCCCAAGAAAAUAUUACUCUUCCUUGCCAAGUUCUGAACGAGUUGAGAAAUAGGACAAAAGAGUAAGGCAAAUGGAAGAGCAAGAUGUCACCUUUGUUGCUGAUGAAGCUGAUUUUUGGAGAUUGUGCCUUUUUUUUCUGUGGGUAAGCAGAUUUCCUACUACCGAACCCCAGAGUUAGAAAUACCCAGCCACCAGCAGUGUGGGGCCACCCUGGGCCUCUGCACACACAGGACUAUGCCCGGAAGACCCUCAGUGUGUGUGUGUGUGUGUGUGGUGGUAGGGCAUGGGGAGGAGAAUGUGUAUUUCCUGCAGGCAGUCAGCUCCCAAGGAGAAAGGGAGUAAAGGGGCUGGGCUAUCCUGGUGCAAUGCCUACUCUCAGCAGAGUUGGCUAGCACCGGCUUGUGCAUAUCUCAGCUCCAGGUUCAGUGACCUUCUCAGCUACCUUGUCGGUAGCUUGGUACCGACAUUUCAGCCCUGCUGAAAUGGGUAUCUUUACACUACAGAAGUUAUCAAAUGCUGCAAAUUGAAACUUUUGCCCCAGAGAACCAAUUGUUGAACAUUUACCUGCACACCACCGGCUGCUCCCAAAAUUUCCAACCAGAGAUCUUUCUUCUUCCCCAGCAAAAAAGUGAAUGAGAGGGGUGGAAAAAGGGUGGAGCCGGAGCUGAGAAGAAGAGUUAGCAUCACCACGGUCUUCCUCCAGGCCAUUCUCAAGCACAACCUGGGUGAGGCUCUGUCAUUGCUUAAUGGAUCAGCUGUAUAGUAACAGCAGAAGAUAAAACAUGGCUUCCAGAUCAGCUAAAGUAUCAACAAGAAUGAAAAUGACACUUCAAAGGAUUUAAGUGAAGAGAGUGUCGUGAAGAUUAUUUGUAGAGAUGUGGGAUCAGAUGAGAAACACCCUGGGACCAGAAACAGCAGAAGCCCUAAUGCCUGCCAAAGGGCAAGACCAGGGAUUUGAGAUUUCUAAAAACAACAACAACAACAACAACAACAACAACAAAACCCUAUACAAAUCUAAAUUAGUUAAAAAAAAAAAAACUAAAGUGGUUGGAUGGGAGCUAUGGCUUAGGAAGAGAAACACAGCCCAUCAAAGAGGGACUAGGGAUUUAAAUAACCCUCUCUUCUCUCUUCCUGUCCAUGCCUUCUGUUGGGUGAAACUAGCAGCCAGAAGGCAAGGGGGCCUGGGUGGAGAUGUCCAGUGGCAUUAGCCUCCCAGGUACAGAGAGAUGCAGAGAAAGAUGCAAAAUAGACCUGGAGUAGCUGAGAAUCAUCUUGUCAUUUGUCACCUAUUAGCCAGUUGCUUUGUCCAAGGCCUUGAGCCUCAGUUUUCUAUAGAGUGGGCAUCAAACUUGUCUACCUCUUGUCUGCCUCACAGGGCCAUGGGGAACAGCCAGUGAAAGUGUUAAAAUCAUUCGCUUGCCAUUUGACCCUCUUCUUCAUCUGCAUUAUCUCACUUAAUUCCUCAACAGCCGGGUAGGGUAUAAGGCAGAGAGGCCAGGGGACAAGGACAGGCAGGCACUUUGGAAUCAGAAGAAGAGGUCAUCAACUGUGGCUCAGCCAAGCUUUUUAACUGUGAGAUCAUGGGAAACUGAAGCUCUCUGAACCUCAGCUAUUGUCUUACUUUGAGCUCCCCCAAAAUCACAUCCUGAGACAAAUAUUUGAGUGCAAAUAGUUCAUUUGGGAGCUGAUCCCAGGAUGCACCAGGAGGGACUGGGCAGGGACUCAGAAAAGGGAAGAAACCCAAUUAUUGGUGUAUUCACAAGUGGGCAACUCGGUCUCAGUGCCACAACUGUGAUGAAGACUGUGCAGGACACAUCCUGGGGUUGGUGGAAUGCAGGGUGCGGGUGCUGGGGUGUUUAUUCACCACCUUCCAUCCCUCACUGGCUGAGGGUUGUUCUUGGAAGUUUUAACUCCCUGGCCAUUUCACACUGCCUGCUGUGGCCAGAGGAGACUCAAGCAGCCAGAGAGUGCCAUGGGGUGGAGACACACAGGAAGCCACAUAGAUGCCCUCCAGCAUGGGCCAGGAGGGAAUGUCUGGGGGACCGACAGCAUCCGUUUUGUUUUUCUAAUUUGUAUGCUAGAGAUGAUGUCUAUGUCACAGGACAGUGACAGAGAUGAAAUGAUUAAUGAUUAAAUGGCUAAAUGUCUUCCAAGUGCCUGGCUCAUAGUAGGUAUCCAAAGAAAAGGAGGCAUUCAUAGUAAAGAUGGGUAAAUAUUCAUGUGUUACAGAUGGAAGCAAAUGGGACUCAAAGAAGUUAAGACAUUUGCCCUAAAUCACACAGACAGUUCUUAAAUGGCCAAGUCAGAUCUGGCCCCAGUUUGUUCCCCUUCCACUCUGCCGUGGCUACCUCCUGUUAAUGGACUAUACAUUUAGAGUGCUUUUGCCUCAUAAAGUGUGUGAAGCUCCAUAAAUAUAAAAUGUUUGUAGUCCCAGCCUUGCUAGCUCAAAUCCAAGUUAAAUUGACUCUUGGGUAGUUCUUCUCUCAGCCCCAAUUCUCAUAAGCUCAAAUAUAUAUUUUCUUAGUCCCCUGGGAUCCUCCAUUCUGUGCCCCAACAAUCCCUAACCCUUCAUUAGUAAUGCCUAGAUGUCUCCACAUAUUUCAAGGGGUGCCAGAAAGUCUCCAGACAAAAUAAAAGAUGCCAUAAAACACCAAGUGCAUAAAACUCUAGACACCUUGUUCUCCAUGUCAUGUUUCCUUUUAAAAACAAAUAUUUUGAAAUGCCCUCUUUACUAUCCUGCUGAUACACACAUAAAAACUAAUAAAAUGCACAAACUCUUUUCUUAAAAAUUGUGGGAAGAUAUACAUAAUAAAAAAUUUACCAUUUUAACC
rnacentral:lncRNA from 1 species